CAGCAGCCGCGGUAAUACGAAGGGUGCAAGCGUUAAUCGGAAUUACUGGGCGUAAAGCGUGCGUAGGCGGUUUGUUAAGUCUGCUGUGAAAUCCCCGGGCUCAACCUGGGAAUGGCAGUGGAUACUGGCAAGCUAGAGUGUGUCAGAGGAUGGUGGAAUUCCCGGUGUAGCGGUGAAAUGCGUAGAGAUCGGGAGGAACAUCAGUGGCGAAGGCGGCCAUCUGGGACAACACUGACGCUGAGGCACGAAAGCGUGGGGAGCGAACAGGAUUAGAUACCCCUGUAGUCCCUGUCUCUUAUAC
rnacentral:rRNA from 1 species